rnacentral:rRNA from 1 species
AUGCCGCCGCCGGAGCUGUGCCACGACCUCCUCGUGGACAUCCUCACCCGCCUCCCUCCGGACGACCCCGGGUGCCUCUUCCGCGCCUCCCUCGUCUGCACCGCGUGGCGCGCCCUCCUCACCAGCCCCGAGUUCGCCCGCCACUACCGCGAGGUCCACCGGACCCCGCCCCUGCUCGGGUUCUUCGAGAACCACGACACCGUCACGCCGUGGUUCGCGCCCUCGUCCCCCGCCGCCUCCCCCUUCCCCCCGCUCUUCCCCGACCGCCGCGACCUCCACGUGCUCGACUCCCGCCACGGCCUCGUCCUCCUCAGAAACCCUAUUCGAAUCACCGAGCAUGACCACGCCGUGAGCCUCAUCGUGUGGGACCCCGUAGGCCGCCGCCAGUGGGAGUCGUUCCCCCCUCCGGAUUUCGCCAGCACCAUCCUCUGCGACGUGGGGGUGGUGGCCUGCGCCGCCGACGACUGCGACCACCUCGGCUGCCAUGGCAGCCCCUUCCUCGUGGGCUACGUGGGCACCGAUUACAGGAGCGCCCACGCCUCCGUCUUCUCUUCGGAGACGAAUAGCUGGAGCCCCGUUGUCUCUUGCCCCCACCCUGAUAUCGAGAUCCUGAGAGGCCAGCCCAAGCCCCUCAUUGGGAAUGCCGUCUACUUCAUCUGCGAGUACCACCCGAAUGAGUAUUUCAUUCUGUGCUUCGACCUCUUCAGCCGGAAACUGUCAAAGUUCGACGGGCCACCCAUCCAUCGCUAUAAGUAUGCCCUCAUGAAAACAGAGGAAGGCGUGCUGGGAUGCGCAAGUAUGCAGGGAUCUCGGCUUCGCCUGUGGUUGACGCAGACUGGUGCCGACGGAGCUGUGACAUGGAUGCGGCGCAGGGUCGUCGACCUCCACAGGCUGCUCCCUUCUAACUCAUUCUUCCGUGUGAUUGGCUUUGAGGAUAGAGUUGGUGCCUUUUAUCUGACGACAGACGAUGGUGUCACGACGGUUGAUCUUAAGUCAGGCCAAGUCAAGAAGAUGUCCGAUUCCAAUAUCGUUCCCUACCAAUCUGUUCCCUACAUAAGCUUCUACACUCCAGAUCAAACCGUUGAGGUGGCCGAGGGGGGCAGAUGGGAGGAAGUGGGCGACAAGGAGGAGGAGGCCGAUGAGAAAGUGGAGCAGCAGGUAGAGAAAGCCGUGCAUGAGCUUUUCACCAAGGGGUCCAAAGCCCUUAAGGAUGAGGACUUCGUAGGCGCUCUAGACUGCAAACGCAGGAUCCUUGAGAUCAGGUUAGGCUUCUUCCUUUCUACCUGCUACCUGCCACUCUUACUCCAAAGCCUAGCUGAAGCGUGCGUACAUAUGGAUUGUUGGAUACAAUGUUCCAAUUAG